AUGCCAACGGGCCCACCGGCGUGCCCGUGCCCUUCUACCGUGCGGGCGGCUGCUCCGGCGGGGGUCGACGCCGCAGGUUGUGCGCGAGGAGGUGGACGACUUCCUGCGCUCCGAGAGGGGUUGCCGCCGUUGCAUGCUGCCGGAACAAGCAGCAAGGGAGCUUCCGCUUGGCGCGUGCGUCUCCUUCCUUCGGUAGAAGUAGCAGGUGAGGAAGAACCAGCUGCCGACGGGCGAGGGCAUGGGGUACCUGGAGGCCAAGCACCACCUGCUGCUCUUGUCUCACCCAUAACUUUGUUUAUAUGCCUGAUAAUGUCGAGAGCCGAUGACAACACGGUGAUGGAGGCGGUGGACUCGGAGGUGUCAGUGACGUGCACGGACAUGGGGCUGGUCCAGAAGGCGUUCCAGGCCCUGCUGUGCACCAAGCAGCACCCCAUUGACCGGCCGAUGAUGCACGAGGUGGCCCGGGUGCUUCUCUCGCUGAUGCCGGCCCCUGCCCUCCAGAGAACAAUCACGGUGUCUAUUUCUGCUUUAUGCUCCACGUUUCACUAA
rnacentral:rRNA from 1 species